CCUACGGGGUGCUGCAGUGGGGAAUAUUGGACAAUGGGCGAAAGCCUGAUCCAGCCAUGCCGCGUGUGUGAAGAAGGCCUUCGGGUUGUAAAGCACUUUCAGUGGGGAAGAAAGCCUUGGGGCUAAUACCCUCGAGGAAGGACAUCACCCACAGAAGAAGCACCGGCUAACUCCGUGCCAGCAGCCGCGGUAAUACGGAGGGUGCGAGCGUUAAUCGGAAUUACUGGGCGUAAAGCGCGCGUAGGCGGUCUGAUAAGCCGGUUGUGAAAGCCCCGGGCUCAACCUGGGAACGGCAUCCGGAACUGGCAGGCUAGAGUGCAGUAGAGGAAGGUAGAAUUCCCGGUGUAGCGGUGAAAUGCGUAGAGAUCGGGAGGAAUACCAGUGGCGAAGGCGGCCUUCUGGACUGACACUGACGCUGAGGUGCGAAAGCGUGGGUAGCAAACAGGAUUAGAUACCCUAGUAGUC
rnacentral:rRNA from 1 species